AUAAAUCUUUGGGGCAGGUGAAAUUCCUGAUCGGCGGUGAUAGUCCGCGAGCGCAAGCAUGAAUCGGUGUAAUUCCGAUACCGACGGUAUAGUCCGGAUGGAAAAAGAUGGUG
rnacentral:ncRNA from 2 species